AAGAAGAAGAAAAAAAAAAGCCCCUCUUCUCCCUGUUUUUGUUUAUCACCUAUUUCUGGAAACCGGCCUUGGGAUCUCAUGGCCCAGCAGCACAGCUGCUUUGGAGAAUGUUGUUGGAGUAGGCUCCUCCCUAAACAGACUCCCCUGGCUUUGGGAAUAUGAACCGGAAUCGGCCAGACAGGUGCAUCCUUACGUUCAUAACCAGAAGUGGCUACAACCAAACUGUUACAUUUUGUCUAACUGGUGCCCUGCUGGGCAACUCGGUAGACCGAGGAAUGCUUUUGGCAAAACUCGUUGCUGCCCAGAACUCUGCCUAAAGUUGAGCUUGAGCCUUUGUUUUUUUCUGUUGUAACUUGGAGGAAUUUAAAGCUGUAUUCUAAGUUCCUGGAUGUCUUUUUUCUCCCUCUAUGUCUAUGUCAGGCAGAAAUAAGUAAGGUCUUGUGUAUGAACCAACAGAUUUCCAGAGAUUUUGACCAUAGGGAAGCUGGGGAGAAAGCUGAGGGGCAAUGACAAGUAGGAUUUUGUGCCUUGCCUCCCUUUGGCCUCACUGAGACGAUCAUGGUUGUUGCAGAAACCCACACCCACAGACAGCCCUUUGACCCAUUUCCACCCACAUAGAAGGGAAUCCAGAGAACUUUCCUGCCUUCUGGACGUGAAGAGAACAGCUGAGUUGAAAUGCCCUUCUGUGGAUUGCUGAAAGAAAGGAAAACAGCUGAAAGAUGGAAGUUCUGUUCCCUUUUUGGAAACAUGCAGUUGUGUUGCCUCGUUGGAGAAGCCCAGUCGACGCGGGGAGGGCUUGCAGACACAGGUGGAAGCCAGCAGGGAGAGGAUGCGGAGGUGGCCUGGGGAAGCCCCUGCAGUGGCCAGCCUGGCCCGCCUGCCAGCUCGGUGGACACAGGAGCUGAGUGUGAGAAGCAGGCAGAAGCUGAGGCCGAGCCGGGCACGGCUUUCUAGAUUAGCUCUCUGCAGCUUCCCUGUUUGGAUUGGCCCGAAGCUGGCACAGGAGGCCCAGCCAGCUUUCCGAGGGGAAGCCGGUCUGCCAGCCGGGCGGGGACGGUGCCUCCCAGCACCUCUGCCCUCCUACCUUGCCCAGGUUGCGGCAGCUCGUGCAUAAAUGGGGCAGCGCGUCCACGUCUCUCCUUCCCUCUGCACAAAUUGGAAAUGACUAACCUUGCCAUAUUUAGUGCAGCGCUAACGGCCACUCGCCUCUGAGGGGUAAUCAUGCAGGCAUAAAUUCGGAAAGUUGCUAAGCUAUGAGCAGUCUUAUGAGCAUUAAAAGUGUCCUCUUUGCCAGAAAGGUCAUUCAUAACUUGGCUACCCUGCUGAUGUACAGUCAGUGAUAUUGAUUGAUUAAUGUAUGAAAGCACUGGAUCCAUUUGCUUCUAUGAAAGAGAAUAAAGUGCAGUCGACUCCCUCUUUAUUUUCACCUCAUCCUUUUGUUUGAAGGACAUUUUCCCCCUUCUUUUUGUUUUGCCGGCUAGGUUUAAGGGGGUUACAAAAAGCCAGUUUCUGCCAAGUAAUGUGUUCACAAAGAGAACAUUGAUUCACAUCAGUGUCGCUUGAAUUACCCUUAAAGGUUUGCCAAGGAGCUGCUCUUAUAUUAACCUUCUGUUCGUGGAGGAAGAAAUAAAUAAAUAAGUCAUAAAGUCAAACUCGUUGCUUUGGAUUUCACUCGGGGCCUGAUCUCACAUAAUUCCUCCCGUGGCUGACUGUGGUGAAGGACAUUGCCCAGAAGGUCCCGGUUAGGUUUUGGGGUGUGAGGUGCAGGACGCCAAGGGAGGCGAGCCCACCCCCACCCCCCGCCGCCCCCCGCCGCCUGAGCCCUCCUGGGGACCAGAUCAUGGAACCGACUGAAUUUACUUCCAGCACAGAGAUUAGUUCUGACUGGCUGCCUCGCAUUCAGGCUGAGAAGCUGCGGUCCCUUUUCUUGCUCUCUUAGGCAGUUCACACAAUCAGGUGGUGGAAAGGGCAAGGGAAACCUUUCUUUGUCUGAGAGAUGAAGGAUUCUGGUGGGGAAGGCAACUUUGUUUUUCAGCUCCCAUGGAACGAAUUCGUUAUACAGUCUUCUGAGUCCUCCUUAAAUCUCCCAGUUCUCUACAAACUUAGCAAGGCCAUAGCCUAAGGAUGGGGAAGAAGGACUCCUUUGCAUUUUCAAAGCUCAAAUGAAGUUUGUUGAGUUGUUGCUGUUUUAAUUUUUCUGUGAGCAGAUAGUCUGAAGACUUUCCUGUUGAAAACCCAAAAUGGUGUUGGUGGUCUAUGAAACCUAGAGUGUAUUGAUUGCCCUGUGAUUUGAUAAGCCUUGAGUAGUCUCUGAGUUGGAGCAUUUUGCAGACUAAUGGCGUUCUGUUACUAAGGUUUUCUCUUCAGUGAUUUUCUUUUCUGGAAGAUAGCUCAGUGCUAGGCACAUACGAGGUCAUUGGUCAGUGUUAGCUGACUGGCCAUCUUGGAUUCUUCAGCAUUUGACACAUGACCACUUUCAUAGUCCGAAGCAUUUGGAAACAGUGUCCCCAGCGUGCUGGGAAGCUAGGGCAAUGUGGACUUAGGGCGCCCAAAGCUGUGCUUAGUUCCUGGGGGGCACAGCCUGAGGCAUAGCCUGCACAUACCAGUGGGGAGGUCUCCAGGUUGGCUGUCCCAGGUGUGGAAUGCCCUUGGGAGCCUUGGAAUGAAAACUGGUCGCCCUGCCUGUCUGUUCCUAUAAGCCGGACCCCAUGCACCUGGCAAAAGCUAUUUGACCUGGGUGUGAAGGUGGCCCAAGCUGUUCAUUCAGCAGCGUCCAGCAGAAGGCCAACACACAACACAGUUCCUGGAACAACCAGUUUCAUAUCAGUUCACAGCUCGUGAACAGGGAGGGUGUUGAUGGCUGAGAGUCCCAGAGGAAUAUGUGCUUUGGAAGCAUUGCUGUCUGUCUUCUUGGGAGUCUGGGCUGUCAGAGCCUCGUGUACCUCCUGUCUGCCCAUGGCCCAGGGGGUAUAAAAGCAGCAAGUGAAGAAGUAGGUUGGUUUUUCCCCCUCCCAUGGAAGCUGGCAGGUGUCUAAGCUCCUAUGAAUUCUUCUUAGUUAAAAGGGGCUCUCGGUAAACUGGUUGCACCUGGCCGAUGCUUUGAUGGAGAAGCAGUUUUAAUUGGGAGACACAGGAAGCCCCCUAUGCCACACCCCUGGCUUUUGCACAGCACUUUGAAUAAUAUUUUGUGUUUGGCUGCGAGCAGUACAGGGUUACUGGUGGCUUAUGGUCUGACCACAGCGCCGUUGCUCCCGGCAGCCUCACUGGCUUCUUCUUAGUUGUCGGACAUGGCAGGGGAGCCACAGACAGGUAGAGCGUCCAGCUUUGCAGUUAUAUGUGUACCACAUCACCAGUUGCCCUCCCUCCACACCAGCUGGAGCUCAUUGCCCAGCUAACCCUGAGACACAGGUGACAUGUUGGCCCAUAUGGGAGCCAAACAGCUUUAUGUGAUUGUUUAAUUAAAACCUUGGUUUUCUAAUUGCAGUCUCAACACAGGUGCCUUUUGUUAAUGAAAGACAACCUCCGCGCUUGGUGCUCUUGCUCAAGGCAUUUCUUUCCCCUUUUUCCCAACUUGAAAAGUGCCAUUUUUGUUCCCACCAUCGGGCAAGGGGCGCGUCUUGCCGUUGGGGGAGACGUCCCACUAUUCCUUUUCCUUUUGUCAGCCCGUGUCCGUGUCUUAUCUCGGCUGUGGUCGCCUCUCUGAUUUCAUAUUGCAGGGAGUCAAAUUUGUAAGCCCCUUCACCUGCUGGAGUAAUCAGAAAGCCCGAAGAAAACCACCAUGUUUCUCCGACGUAAGCAUUAUUUUCCAGAUUCCUGGCGCAAGAGGUGAAAUGGAUAUAAUGUUCACUUUGAAAGGGGGAAACCUCCCCUGAUUUCCACAUGAACCCCGGCACCUUCAUCUCCUCCGCCUCCCUCUGCUGAGGCGAUAGGAGUCAGCUCAAAGGAGAUGCUGCGAGCGAAUCCAUUUUCUCUUCCUCUGUCUCCACAGAAUAAAUUAGAAUUUGCCCGAUUUAAUAAAACGGCUUCGUCUCUCUGCCAUCUUCCCCAUCUCCAGAGUAUUCCCUCUGUAGCGGCCUGCUCUCCUAUAAUGGAUCUCUGUGCCGUAUCUCCUCCUUACAGGCUGGUGGCUUCACAGGCGAUGCUCUCGCUCGCUCCCACGCACACGCUGUUUCACACAUGUGCGUGCGUGCCACCUUUGGGGGAUCCUGAGGACCGAAGGUGCAAAAAUUUGUCACCAGAUCUCAUUUUCCCCAUUGUCAGGCGUGAUGGUUGUAAUUGAUGUAGAGGUUGGUGCGGCUUGCCGUCCGUCUGCCAUCAACUCAGCCUCCCAGAGUUGACGCGACCACAAGGUGGAAUAUAUUUUGGGGAGGAGGGGGAGAAGUAGAUGGUGGCACUCGCUCUGCCCCAGCCCUUUCUCUGUGUAAUUGGAACAUAGUUAUCUCUGGGUAUGGAGGAGCAUUUUGCUGUCUCCCCAUUGCUCCCGGUUGGACUGAUGGGGGUUUGUUGUUUGAAUUUGGAAUGGUUUUUCCUUUUGAAACACCACCGCCCCCCUCCUAAAUUUGUGUUUUAAUUUCUAUUUCCUGGUUGAUUUUUCUCCCUUUCCAUUCUGACACUAAUUAUGCCAGCCGCGUUGGGAGCCCUCACUGCUGGGAGGUACCCAGAUAAGGGUUAAGAAGGGUUUUAAAAACAGGCUGAACUCCUUCUUAAUGAGGCUCAAUCGGGCUCUCCUCCGGGUGGUUUUGUUUUGCUGAUCUGUCAGUUUUUCAAGGAUUUAAUUGCACUUUUUUCGUGUUAGUCUUUGAAAUUGGCCUAUACAAUCUUGCUAUAAAAUAACAUUAAAAAAAAAAAAAAGAAAAAAGUUAGUGGCUUUUGUUCCCUCCCCCCUUUAUUGUCAUUGGGGGAUUUUAUUUUUCACUUUCUCUUUCCAGGACCAUCUUUUUCCAGUCACUCUUGGGAGCUGGCCAUAGUGAGGAGCCCAGGCUGAAUGGCAGGAGGGGCCUCGGAGAGCCUGGAUCUCCCCGUUUCUGAAGCCCUUCCGUCUCUCUGGGGCUUCAGUAACACAGCUCCUCGUCUUACAGCUCCUCUUCUGGGUCUGCCCUUGGCCAGGGGUGGGGAGGGACCGGUCCGUGAGGACAAGCUCCGAUUUGUGCUUUAGGCCUGGAAGCAACCGAUUCCAUCAAGCGGUGCCAGACCCGCUAAGCAGCGUCUUGAGUCCUCAACCAUGGGAGGUGAGGAAAAGAAAGAGUCUACAAGACAGAAGGCAGAAGUUGCCAGGCAGGGGAGGGGGAGGGAAGCAAGGCCAUAUCCUUUAUGCUAUUAUCUUUAUGGCAUAGAAAAACAUGCUCGAAGCAAUCAGCAUGAAAUUCUUAAUUGCUUCGCUUACUCCUGCUCCCCUCAUGGGACAGAUUGUGCAAGUGUUGGAGCUGCCAGGACCCUCACGUUAGCACACUGUCCCUGCUGCACACACUAUUUUUAACCAGUGCUUUGUUUUGCAAAGACGCACAAAGCUUUCUCUCUCUCUCUCUCUCUCUCUCUCUCUCUUUUUUCCUUCCCAAGGAUGCUAAUAAACAGCAGAGGCAAUAAAGAGCUUCUCUAGCCACCCUGGCAGCAGCCACGCUUGGUGAGACUGUGAGCCUCUCUCUCUCCCCCUACCUCCCUGCCUUCUGCUUCCUCUCUUUGGAUUUCGUCAUUCCUUCUUCCCCUUUCGGCAAAAGUUUUGGCUUAAAAAAAAAUUUUUUUUUUUUAAAUUUCUGUCUCUGCAUUUAUCCUGUGAACAAACAAAGUUCCCUUUUCCCCUUCCCCUCUCUCCUGAUUCUGAUUUACAUCCCUCUCCUCCUCUCUGUUCUGAUGAGUAUCUUCCUCUUGGAGAUUUCCAGUCCCCUCUCAUGAGGGUGUAAAAUCCAAGAACCAGAUCUCAGAGAUUUCAAAAUAAAAUAAAAGUAAACUCUGCUUAAAAAACACUUUAGCAGGAAAGCCAGGCUAAUUGUAAAUCAAUGGGUCUUAAAAUGCAGCAUCGAUCUCCAGUUAGAAGUUUGAAGGGGAAAGCAGUAAUUACUGCACCAGAAGGUAGUUUUUUCCUCUUAGUAAGUUCUGGGCAGAAAGAAGGCUCAUUAGGGCCGCUCUUCGGAAUCCGAGUAAUUAGUUUAAAAAGUACUUUUGUGGUGUUAUUCCCUUGGCUAGAAAUUAUUGGAGUCUUCACAGAUUUAUAGUUCAAUUCUGAUAAGAUUUGAUUUAUUACCAUGUUUGGUGUGGACGAACCUUGAUACGUAAUCACCCAGGUGAAGACUCAGGGAAGCAUGGACCGGAGCUUUGCGAAGGAAGAGUCUUUUUAGAGUAGACAGGGUUUGAUUCUCUGAUGAUUUUUAUUGCCCUGGAUAGUAUUGAGUGGGACCGACUUAGAACCCUAGCAUGGCAUGGAUGUUAGAACAUCCAAGGCCAACCUUGUUAUCGCUCAGAUGAGCAAAAGGAGACCUAGUAGAAGAGGCAACGUUCUUGUCCAAGUGCAUGUCGAUGUGAUGGUUCAGUGGCAAGAUUGGACGUCUCUCAGCCAUCUUGUGUCACCCAAGGUGGGUCUGCUAGAGAAUAGGUCCCAUGAAGGCAGGAAUGUGUCCUUCUUGUCCAGUUGGAUUCCCAAUGCCUAGAACCUAGUAGGUGUAACUUAAUGGGUAUGUUUAAUGAGUUGGUGAAUUCACAGAUGAACAAAUUAGACAACCCCUCUUUUCUGUCUUGGAGAGAGAGCUUGCAAGCUCUUGUCUUUGGGGGAGACUAUUAUGGGAGCUUUCUGUCUGGUUAGAGUAUCAAGACAAGGACAACCGCCAUUCCGAGCGCUCGCCUUUGCACCAGAAUCAGGCAACCCUUUCUUAACGGGACUUGAUUUUUGCUUGAAGAGCUCAUUCUCCCGCUUCACUUUUUAUUGUAAAGCAAAUACACAACCUAAAAGAGUACUUUUAGGUUCGCUGUCAUCUUACCAUGAUACAACCCUCUCCAUACCGGCGUGCUAUCUUCCGUGUGCCAUGUAAUAUUAAGAGUGAAUUAGAUGUGUGUGAGGAUGCUUUGUCAGCUUAGGCUGUGAGUUUUUACUUUCUUACUCGAAAUUUUAAAUUAUCCACAUUGCUUCUAAGAGAGGCUCUCCAAAGAGGGCGCUCUGUUUUCAUCUAGAGCAGUGCAUCAGGCAAAACAGUGCUUUGUAAACUUUAUUAGCAGAGCUCUCCUUUCUAAACAAAUGAGAUCUAAUUUUCACCCAGUAUCUGAAUAAUUUUCUGGAAAAGCUUUAUAACUAUAGUUAAUUUAGGAGUUCAGAGUUGUCACAUUUGUAUAUUUAAAAAUGAGAAUAAAGCAGAGUUGAUCAACAUUUUGAUCAAAAUUAAGAGUUCUGGGGGUGCCUGGGUGGCUCAUUUGGUUAAGCAUCUGAUUUAGGCUCACGUCAGGAUCUCACAGCUUGUGGAUUCCAGCCCGACGCCAGGCUCUGUGCUAACAGCUCAGAGCCUGGAGCCUGCUUCCGAUUCUGUGUCUCCCUCUCUCUCUGCCCCUCCCCUGCUUGCACGCUGUCUCUCUCUGUCUCUCUCUCUCAAAAUAAAAAAACAUUAAAAAUUUUUUUAAAAAUUAAGAGUUACGGAAGGUAGUUCAAUAGGAUCAGCUAAACUUCUGUUUUGUGUUCUGUUUCGGUUUGGUUCCAUUAUUAUGCAGAUCCUUGUUCCCGCGGAAGUAGUUCCAGAUGGUACCUGUUUUUAUAGUGUUGUGUCUCAGAAGUCUCAGAAGAAGUGUCUGUGUCUCAGUCUCAGAAGAAUCUUCAACUAAGUAGGGAUGGCAGAAAGUUUUACUCUGAGGUCUGCACAGAAUCUAGUUAACUUGGCCAUAGAGUCCAUGGCCUGUCCUCCAGUGUGUUACGUGGACUUAGGUUUUCAUUAUUACAACAUUUGGUAAUCACCCAAAAUUUUAUAAGCAACUUAAAAGAAAACUGGAAUCAAACUUUGCAGGACCCCUGCAAGUGUUACGGGGUUCCUGAGGGAGUGGUUCAGACACCAUUACCCUGUGAGAGCUGCACCUUACGAGCGCCCUGGGACUCCUGUCGUCGGAAGACCCUGUGGCUGCUCUUGCUGAAAAAAUCACUGUGGUGCCGAGUGGCUGGCGGAGGGCCCCUCGUCUGGGUAUCUCCCCGUCACCUGUGUUGGAUGACCACUGCGUGGUAUGCAGCCUUGCACAUGACUUUACGGGUUGAGGAGGCCUUGGCUUCCCCCGUGAGGCCUCUUGCCCCUCUUCUGCUGCCAGGCCGCAUCCUGAGAGGGUGACCCCCGGCUGUGGCGGGCCUCUCUGGCCACUGCCUUGGUCUGUUCGGGACUUGCCUCUGCCCUGUGACUGUGGACGUACUGAUGUGGUCCGCAUGGAAAGACGUCACUUUUUAUUUCUCAAUGGGAGGAAAUACUUCUGUUUAUCACAGGAGCCCCGAGCUGUGCUUCCACAUGCUGAGAGUUAUGUCCCUGAGCCAUGGCCUUGGUCACCCUCCUGUGCUCCGUCAUCGCUCUGCCAAAAGCAGCUUGCGUUCCCUCCCUGUCUGCUUUUCACCAGUUCUGUUGCUUCUCUCCUCUCUCCUUGAAUUAAAUGUUUGGGCUUGCAACGUUUAUUAAUAGCACCAGCACUGCUGAGUAGAGUGGUGAUUUUCUUCCCUUUUUACAUUUAAUUUAUUUUUGGCUUUUAGAAACAAAUCUGAAAUAAUAUUUGAAGCUUCUCCCUUUGGGGGCCACCUCCAGGUAAUCCUUUUAAAGCAUGUCUUGGGGUCAGGCAUUCCCCACUUACCCUCCCAAAGCCACAGGGCCAUCAGCUCACCCCCUUUGCCAUAGCGCUAAUGCCCUGGUGUUUGCUGCUCGUCAGUCAAGUCCAGCUGUAAAUCCUUGGUCCUCUGGAUCCACCCACACACCCAGUCCCUCAGCCUUUUUUAAAACAACUUAACUAAAGACAUGUUGCUGCCUAGAGAAAUUUUUCCCAAACUGUGCCUUUAUAGGGAUAUAAGUGCUGUUGAGGAGAUUUACUGUAUGCGUUUCAACAAACAUUAGCCCCUGUUUGCACAGAUUUACUGGGCACGUGAUGGUCCCUAAUGUGAGAAGUCCUUUUUGGUACUGGAGCUUGGGAUUUCAGAUGAGCAAGUGAUGUUUUCAUAUAGGACCCGUCAGAGGCCUUGAGUGAGGCGGAUGCCAUUAGGCGUGGUCAGCAGAUGUGAGGGUGCAUCGAGGAGGUUGGCGGGGUCUCCAGAGGCAGAGGGCUGAUGCCUGUGGCUUGUGUUUUCAGGCUUGUGUGGUUAUUGUCCAGGGGCCAGUCUGGGGACUGAAAAGGUUCACCUGUUGCCUCCACCUCUCCUGUUUGCUUUAACAGCCCCCAGGCCCCUCCUGUCUUCCUUCUAGCUUCUGUAUCCUGAUAGGGUAGCAUUUUUGUCACUGGCAGAACAUGGAAAGGUGAUUUUCAAAUAGAAGGGUGGGUGUGAUUUUUUUUUUUUUUUGAUGAGUCCCAAGUGGCAGAGAGACCACCUGGAGGUCAGUUGAGAACUGGGGACUCUAAGUAAAGGCACGCUUGACAUGGCUCUGUCUCCUACCCCUGAACAACUAGGGAAGCGAAUGGCAGCCUCUGGCCAGGAAUUGAUUGCAUUAAUUGAUAUGCCAAUAAGAGAGCUUGUUAUAUCCGCCAUUGGUUAGGAGGCCAGCUAACAAGUCCGCUGAUCAAUGGCACCAAUAAAGAUUUCAUCCAUUAAUGAGCAACAUGGUAAUUAAUGUUAUCCAUAAACCAAUUAGCCUGGCUAGCUAAUGCACCAGCCUGCACGAUGAGCGGCAGUGCCGAAAGUGGGCAGGCCACUACCCAUCUGGCAUGGAGUUGGGUCUUCAGGUGGCUUCAUGGGGUAAUGAGAGAGCCUGAGACUCUGGAAGGUUUAUUCCACUGGAGAAUGUGAAGAAAACUUGGAGCAUUCAGAGCCCCUGGCAGAGAGAGAAGAAGGCAAACAGAGUCCUUGCUGGGCCCCGGGCUGGAGCACAGCUGUGCCCUGCUUGUCCCCAACACCUGCUGGGAGGACAGAGCAGGACACACUUUUCUCUUCCAACUCCUGUCUGCCCAGCUUUCCCACGCAAGCCUCUCAGGGGCUGUUAGGGGCCCGUAAUGGAAUGACUGAGUUCCCGGAUCACUCUGGUCCCAGCUGGGCACGCUUUCCCUGGGGACACCCCCAUCGAUGGCUCACAUGAACUGCCUUGUGCGCUCCUGGAGGGCGGGCCGUGGCCUCUUCUGGGAACCAUGAACGAGUGGUAAAGUAAUUAAUAUCCCUCCAGCCCCCUGUCCCCAUGUUUCAUUUAGGAAGAAAAAAUUUGUUGGAGGAAAGAAAGAAGGAGAAACAGAUGAUUUGAAGCUGUGCCUUUUUCCUCCCCCCCCCCCCCAACCCUGCUGGUUUUUUUGAAA